AGAAUCAACGCUGGCGGCGUGCCUAACACAUGCAAGUCGCACGAGAAAGGGACUUCGGUCCUGAGUACAGUGGCGCACGGGUGAGUAACACGUGAAUAAUCUACCUCCGAGUGGGGAAUAACUGAGAGAAAUCUUAGCUAAUACCGCAUAACACUUACGAGUCAAAGCAGCAAUGCGCUUGGAGAGGAGUUCGCGGCAGAUUAGUUAGUUGGCGGGGUAAUGGCCCACCAAGACGAUGAUCUGUAUCCGGCCUGAGAGGGCGCACGGACACACUGGAACUGAAACACGGUCCAGACUCCUACGGGAGGCAGCAGUGGGGAAUUUUGCGCAAUGGGGGAAACCCUGACGCAGCAACGCCGCGUGGAGGAUGAAAUAUCUUGGUAUGUAAACUCCUUUCGAUGGGGAAGAUAAUGACGGUACCCAUAGAAGAAGCCCGGCUAACUCGUGCCAGCAGCCGC
rnacentral:rRNA from 1 species